AAAAACGUUGGCAACGACGUUACUGUCUCUUUUGAAUCCAUCCACCCAUCGGUUGUACACCUGUGUUGGUGUCUAGAAUUAUUUUUUUUUUGGUUGAAUUUAAGACUGGGUCAGUAAAUACAAGGCCACAGUAGUAGCUGUUCAAGCAACACGUUAGUUGAGCGAUAAUUUGUGACUUAUUUAAAACGUGAUAUCUGCUAGCUAAGGUGUGACGUUAGCAUUGUCCUGACGGGCCUCAAGCAGCCACGUGGAGAAGACUGAACGAUGGGCCAAAUGAAAAAACAAACCAUGAAUGUCUUGUUUUUCCUCAGAUGGACUUCAGUCUGGCAGCUCUUUACACAAGGUUAUCAAGUCCCAUAUUGGAUAUAUGGGGUCUCAUGUCCCUGGGAGACAGGUCAAAAUGGGCCCAUUCAAGAUGAUGCAAAGUCAAGGCUGAGCUGAAGAAACUUGUGAACUGCCAUAAGAAAUGUCAAGGCCAGAAAAAUACACCUGACUGAUGACUGAAUGAUGGUUGCCAUGCAGCACUGUAUAUGCUCCCAAUUCAACCAGCUGACUGAAAAUGAUUCAUUUUGUGCAGGUUGAGCUGAAGAUUCCUCUGAAAGAAAGGGACUCAUCUUAUGGGGUCCAGCUACAACUUCAGACAUGGUUCUUGUGUCAUUCUGCCAGUCUAGUCCUGAAGUUUGCUGUCGAGUCAAUUUGACAGAAUUGGAUCAAGUGGUUGCAGUGACUCUGCCUCAGUAUGGCUGCAUGUGGUGGCAGAGGACUCAUGGACACCAGUCUGAAGAUGAAUGUCAACAUGUUUGAUGGAAAAACAGCUUGCUUAAAUGUAUUAGAAUUGUAAUAAAGUGUCAAACUAAACUAAAUGAAA